UGUCGGAUUAUUGGGCGUAAGAGCUCGUAGGCGGUUUGUCGCGUCUGCUGUGAAAGCCCGGGGCUCAACCCCGGGUCUGCAGUGGGUACGGGCAGACUAGAGUGCAGUAGGGGAGACUGGAAUUCCUGGUGUAGCGGUGAAAUGCGCAGAUAUCAGGAGGAACACCGAUGGCGAAGGCAGGUCUCUGGGCUGUUACUGACGCUGAGGAGCGAAAGCAUGGGGAGCGAACAGGAUUAGAUACCCUGGUAGUCCAUGCCGUAAACGUUGGGCACUAGGUGUGGGGGACAUUCCACGUUUUCCGCGCCGUAGCUAACGCAUUAAGUGCCCCGCCUGGGGAGUACGGCCGCAAGGCUAAAACUCAAAGGAAUUGACGGGGGCCCGCACAAGCGGCGGAGCAUGCGGAUUAAUUCGAUGCAACGCGAAGAACCUUACCAAGGCUUGACAUUCACCGGACCGCCCCAGAGAUGGGGUUUCCCUUCGGGGCUGGUGGACAGGUGGUGCAUGGUUGUCGUCAGCUCGUGUCGUGAGAUGUUGGGUUAAGUCCCGCAACGAGCGCAACCCUCGUUCUAUGUUGCCAGCACGUGAUGGUGGGGACUCAUAGGAGACUGCCGGGGUCAACUCGGAGGAAGGUGGGGAUGACGUCAAAUCAUCAUGCCCCUUAUGUCUUGGGCUUCACGCAUGCUACAAUGGCCGGUACAAAGGGUUGCGAUACUGUGAGGUGGAGCUAAUCCCAAAAAGCCGGUCUCAGUUCGGAUUGAGGUCUGCAACUCGACCUCAUGAAGUCGGAGU
rnacentral:rRNA from 1 species